rnacentral:rRNA from 1 species
AUUGAACGCUGGCGGAAUGCUUUACACAUGCAAGUCGAACGGCAGCACGGACUUCGGUCUGGUGGCGAGUGGCGAAUGGGUGAGUAAUGUAUCGGAACGUGCCCAGUCGUGGGGGAUAACGUAGUGAAAAUUACGCUAAUACUGCAUACGAUCUAUGGAUGAGAGCGGGGGAUCGCAACACCUCGCGCGAUUGGAGCGGCCGAUAUCUGAUAAGGUAGUUGGUGGGGUAAAGGCCCACCAAUCCAACGAUCUGUAGCUGGUCUGAGAGGACGACCAGCCACACUGGAACUGAGCCACGGUCCAGACUCCUACGGGAGGCAGCAGUGGGGAAUUUUGGACAAUGGACGCAAGUCUGAUCCAGCCAUUCCGCGUGCAGGAUGAAGGCCCUCGGGUUGUAAACUGCUUUUGUACGGAACGAAAAGGUCUCUCUUAAUACGGGGGACUCAUGACGGUACCGUAAGAAUAAGCACCGGCUAACUACGUGCCAGCCGCCGCCGUAA